UAGUAGAGCUGGCGGCAGGCCUAAACAUGCAAGUCGAACGGACCCUUCGGGGUUAGUGGCGGACGGGUGAGUAACACGUGGGAACGUGCCUUUAGGUUCGGAAUAGCUCCUGGAAACGGGUGGUAAUGCCGAAUGUGCCCUUCGGGGGAAAGAUUUAUCGCCUUUAGAGCGGCCCGCGUCUGAUUAGCUAGUUGGUGAGGUAACGGCUCACCAAGGCGACGAUCAGUAGCUGGUCUGAGAGGAUGACCAGCCCACUGGGGCUGGGACUGAGACACGGCCCAGACUCCUACGGGAGGCAGCAGUGGGGAAUCUUGCGCAAUGGGCGAAAGCCUGACGCAGCCAUGCCGCGUGAAUGAUGAAGGUCUUAGGAUUGUAAAAUUCUUUCACCGGGGACGAUAAUGACGGUACCCGGAGAAGAAGCCCCGGCUAACUUCGUGCCAGCAGCCGCGGUAAUGCGAAGGGGGCUAGCGUUGCUCGGAAUUACUGGGCGUAAAGGGCGCGCGUAGGCGGAUCGUUAAGUCAGGGGUGAAAUCCCCAGGGCUCAACCCCUGGAACUGCCUUUGAUACUGGCGAUCUUGAGUAUGAGAGAGGUAUGUGGAACUCCGAGUGUAGAGGUGAAAUUCGUAGAUAUUCGGAAGACACCAGUGGCGAAUGCGACAUACUGGCUCAUUACUGACGCUGAGGCGCGAAAGCGUGGGGGAGCAAACAGGAUUAGAUACCCUGUAGUCCACGCCGUAAACGAUGAUGCUAGUUGUCGGGCUGCAUGCAGUUCGGUGACGCAGCUAACGCGUUAAGCAUUCCGCCUGGG
rnacentral:rRNA from 1 species